AGUGAACGCUGGCGGUAGGCCUAACACAUGCAAGUCGAACGGCAGCACAGUAAGAGCUUGCUCUUACGGGUGGCGAGUGGCGGACGGGUGAGGAAUACAUCGGAAUCUACUUUUUCGUGGGGGAUAACGUAGGGAAACUUACGCUAAUACCGCAUACGACCUACGGGUGAAAGCAGGGGAUCUUCGGACCUUGCGCGAUUGAAUGAGCCGAUGUCGGAUUAGCUAGUUGGCGGGGUAAAGGCCCACCAAGGCGACGAUCCGUAGCUGGUCUGAGAUGAUGAUCAGCCACACUGGAACUGAGACACGGUCCAGACUCCUACGGGAGGCAGCAGUGGGGAAUAUUGGACAAAGGGCGCAAGCCUGAUCCAGCCAUACCGCGUGGGUGAAGAAGGCCUUCGGGUUGUAAAGCCCUUUUGUUGGGAAAGAAAAGCAGCAGGUUAAUACCCCGCUGUUCUGACGGUACCCAAAGAAUAAGCACCGGCUAACUUCGUG
rnacentral:rRNA from 1 species